rnacentral:misc_RNA from 1 species
GAUGAAGAACGUAGCGAAAUGCGAUACGUAAUGUGAAUUGCAGAAUUCAGUGAAUCAUCGAAUCUUUGAACGCAUAUUGCGCUCUCUGGUAUUCCGGAGAGCAUGCUUGUUUGAGUAUCAGUAAACACCUCAACUCCCCUUUCUUUUUUUGAAAUGGGAGCUGGACUUGAGUGAUCCCAACGCUUUUCUCACCGAAAAGUGGCGGGUUACUUGAAAUGCAGGUGCAGCUGGACUUUUCUCUGAGCUAAAAGCAUAUCUAUUUAGUCUGCCUAAAAAACAGAUGAUUACCUUUGCUGCAGCUAACAUAAAGGAGAUUAGUUCUUGUGCUGACUGAUGCAGGAUUCACAGAGACAGCUUCGGCUGGCCUUUGUAAACUCGAUCUCAAAUCAAGUAAGACUACCCGCUGAACUUAAGCAUAUCAAUAAGCGGAGGA